rnacentral:lncRNA from 1 species
CUUACGUCUGGAAUGCAACAGGAUUUCCUCAUGUGUGUUGCAAGAUCACAGAAAACAUUCCUGAUGGCUCCAGAUGUACCUGUUUCUUCUUAGGUUCAUUAAGCAGCUUGUCUGAGUCAAAUGUGGAGGCAUAAAGGAAACCCUCUUCAUCUUGCCCAGACUCCUAACAGCAAAAGAGUCAGAAACCAGGAAGCUCUUUGAUUGAGUCUGUGAUCCCCUCCAAGGAGUGACAUGACUUCAUCUGGAAAAAUGGAGCUUUUCUCUUCUUGACAUCUUGAUAAUGUUUCACUAGAACUUCUAAAUUUUUUAGGAACUGGAAAAGAAAAACCACAAAUUGUCCUUGUUCUCACGGAGUGGGGAUGGUAAGUGUGACAGUCACUGGAGUGUUUGCAGUGUGUAGUACUGGCACACACAGUUAAUGCUGCCAUGUUCCCAGAAUGUACUGAAAAGCAAGGAGCUGGUUCUGAAGGACAGAACGUCACGCUGAGGAACGAUGAUAGUCUUGGUCUGUCUCAGACCCCUGGGGCACAUGUGCUUUGAGGCAGGGGUUUUGGCCUGAUGCCUGUUUCCCUUUAGCCUCACUGUAACCCACACUGUAUGGAGAGGAUGUUACAGUACUUUUCUUUCUUCCUAUCCUGCUGCUGUUCUGUUGGUCCACAGUUAGUGAGCACGCUGCACACCAGCUGGCCUGCCUUCACCAGGUCUUGGGGGCAGGCCUAGACAAAGCAGGUCCUGACUGACAGCCUCCUGGCCACUCUCCCAUUGUUCUUAACAGCCGAGGAACUGAGGCAUUACUAAUGGGGUCUCACUGGGGAAACUGAGAAGACUUAGCUGAGUCACCUGACAGUGGGUUCCCAGAGAAUGUAUUUUUGCUUUGUCAUACCUAUCUUUGAUGUAUUUAAACAAUCUAGUACCCAAAAUGUGGGCCAUAAUUUCUGGUGCAUCUGUAAGGAAAAGUCACCUUUGAUUACAUAAUUUUUUUAUGAAUAAAGAAAGCUAAAUAAUUUUUAACAAUAAAAAAAAAAGAAUGUAA